rnacentral:ribozyme from 1 species
AUUGAGUGUUUUGAAUGUUUUGCGACUUUUUGUUUGUAUGGAGAGAAGAUUCGGCUUUUUGUUUUUCUUGUUUCUUUUUUGUUUCUUUUUUGUGUGUGUGUUAAAAAAAAAAAAAAAUUUAAAAAA